GUCGAGCGGUAACAGGUGUAGCAAUACAUGCUGACGAGCGGCAGACGGGUGAGGAACACGUACGCAACUUUCCUCAAACCGGGGCACAACCUUGAGAAAUCAGGGCUAAUUCCCCAUAACAUUGCGAGAGGGCAUCUGAUUGCAAUUAAAGAUUCGUCGGUUUGAGAUGGGCGUGCGUUCGAUUAGCUAGUUGGUAGGGUAACGGCUUACCAAGGCAACGAUCGAUAGCUGGUGUGAGAGCACGACCAGCCACACGGGCACUGAGAUACGGGCCCGACUCCUACGGGAGGCAGCAGUAAGGAAUAUUGGUCAAUGGACGAAAGUCUGAACCAGCCAUGCCGCGUGAGGGAUGAAGGUCCUCUGGAUUGUAAACCUCUUUUAUUUAUGAAGAAAUGUCCUGUUUCUACGGGAUUUGACGGUAAUAGAUGAAUAAGCACCGGCUAACUCCGUGCCAGCAGCCGCGGUAAUACAGAGGGUGCAAGCGUUAUCCGGAUUUACUGGGUUUAAAGGGUGCGUAGGUGGGUUGGUAAGUCAGUGGUGAAAUACUUUCGCUUAACGAAGGAACUGCCAUUGAUACUACCAGUCUUGAAUACAGUGGAGGUAGGCGGAAUGCGUCAUGUAGCGGUGAAAUGCUUAGAUAUGACGCAGAACACCAAUUGCGAAGGCAGCUUGCUACACUGUUAUUGACACUGAGGCACGAAAGCGUGGGGAUCAAACAGGAUUAGAUACCCUGGUAGUCCACGCCCUAAACGAUGAUUACUCGAUCUCAGCGAUACACUGUUGGGGUCUAUGUGAAAGCAUUAAGUAAUCCACCUGGGGAGUACGAU
rnacentral:rRNA from 1 species